rnacentral:rRNA from 1 species
UACAGAGGUCUCGAGCGUUGUUCGGAUUCAUUGGGCGUAAAGGGUGCGUAGGCGGCGGGGUAAGUCUGAUGUGAAAUCCCGGGGCUCAACCCCGGAACUGCAUUGGAUACUGCCCUGCUUGAGUACUGGAGAGGAGACUGGAAUUUACGGUGUAGCAGUGAAAUGCGUAGAUAUCGUAAGGAAGACCAGUGGCGAAGGCGAGUCUCUGGACAGUUACUGACGCUGAGGCACGAAGGCUAGGGGAGCAAACGGG